AUCCCUUAUUUUAGCUUGUUGGAUGAACAUGACCUAUUAAACACUUUAUAUUCGUGGAAACGUAAAAGUGUGUCAUCUGAACUCAUGUACAUUUGUGCUUGUUUUUGGGUUCCUCUCCUCCCCACGUGCGCGUGGAAAGAGGAGGACAGUCAAAGGGAAUCUCUCCUCCCACUCCACAUCAUAUUCCUUCAUUCUCCACGUCUCUGUCUCUCUGUCUGAGAUCAGAUGUCUCCUGCGUUCAGCAGAAACUCCCCCCGGGACCCUCGUUAUCAGCUUCACGCGCUUUAAACGCUUUAACUUCGCACUGCAGAAAUAUGACGAACCGCGUCAGCGUCGCGCUUUUGCGUUUAAACUGCGUUUUCCUUCUUGCUGUGAGCCACGUCGAGAGCUCUGAAGCGGACUACCUCUUUCCAGACACAGAGCAAGAGCUCUUCAUCAAGCAGCAUUCAGAGAUUUACAUUGAUCACCCUGAGAAAGUGCACGAGGAUGGAACAUUUCUCUCACACACUUUAUCACAUCACUUCACCGACAGUCGACACAAGAGACACCUGAGUCCUGCAGAGACACGGGUGUAUUACAAACUCAAAUACAAAGAUCGGGAUUUAACUCUCAAUCUAACCACCAACAACAAUCUGCUGUCCCUGGAUUAUGUGUUGGAGAGACGGAACAGCAGUUUCAUGGAGAAACGGACACAGACUUCUGGGAAAGACACCUGUCACCUGAUCGGUACAGUAACCCAUGACAACAAGAGCGGGACGGCCGCCGUCAGCACCUGUGAGGGGCUGAGAGGGCUGUUAAAUCUAUCCGAUGGGCCGUUGUUGAUCGAGCCCAUCCGUGGCCAUGUUCCAAACAUCACUCAUCCACAACAGCCGCACGUGAUCUACCGGAGCUCAGCCUGGGGCGGACUCAGACGACGGCGCAGCACAGAUGAACACGAUGUUCCGCACAGUCCCUGUGGGGUCAAAGAUGGUGCAGGGUAUUCCCAACAGUUGGAUCAGGAGAGAGAGCGCUGGGAGCAGCGCCAGCAGCGUGGGGAUGGAAACCGUGAUCCAGAUCAAGAAUGGGAACGGCCACGGCGGAUCUCUCGCCGCUCCAUCAGCAAAGAGCGCUGGGUGGAGACCAUGGUGGUGGGCGACUCCAAACUCAUGGACUACCACGGGAGUGGGAACGUUGAGUCUUACAUCUUCACAAUCAUGAACAUGGUAGCUGGAAUUUUUCAUGAUGCUAGCAUUGGCAAUGCCAUCCAUAUUGUGUUAGUUCGACUCAUUUUGCUACAUGGAGAUGAGGGACUGAAGAUCGUCCAUCAUGCCGAUACGACUCUCAACAGCUUCUGUACCUGGCAAAAAAAUAUCAACGCUCAAAGCGACACACAUCCUGCACACCAUGAUGUUGCUGUACUCAUCACACGGAAGGAUAUCUGCGCAGGCAUGAAUCAACCGUGCGAGACACUGGGACUGUCUCACCUGUCUGGCAUGUGUCAGCCGCACCGCUCCUGCAACAUCAAUGAGGAUUCAGGGCUACCUGUUGCUUUCACCAUCGCCCACGAGCUCGGACACAGUUUUGGAAUCCCUCAUGAUGGACAAGGCAAUGAUUGUGAGCUGGUGGGGAAACAACCCUUCAUCAUGUCACGCCAGCUCCACUACGACUCCUCUCCUCUCACCUGGUCCUCCUGCAGCAAGGACUACAUAACACGCUUUCUGGAUCGUGGUUGGGGUUUUUGUCUGGAUGAUCGCCUUUCUAAGAGAGACCUGACCACACCAGUGUCGGCACCUGGAGUGAGAUACUCACCCAAGCACCAGUGUCAGCUGCAGUACGGGCCCGACGCGACCUUCUGCUCUGCAGUGGAUAACGUGUGUCAAACUCUCUGGUGCUCGGUGAAUGGUUCGUGUCGCUCCAAACUGGACUCACCCAUAGACGGAACCAGAUGUGGAGCUGAGAAGUGGUGUAUCUCUGGUGAGUGUGUCAUCGUGGGGAAGUUACCAGAAACAGUGAAUGGAGGAUGGGGACCCUGGAGCACCUGGUCUCACUGCUCACGUACCUGUGGAGCUGGCGUCCAAUCAGCAGACAGAGAAUGCAAUCAACCCAAGCCUGAGUUUGGAGGGAAGUACUGUACAGGCGAGCGGAAGCGCUACAGGAUUUGCAACACAAAGCCGUGUGUCCGACAGCAGCCGUCCUUCAGAGAAAUGCAGUGUAGUGAAUUUGACACAGUGCCUUAUCACAAUGAACUCUAUGAGUGGAUACCUGUCGCCAGCACCUCUCGUCCCUGUGAGCUGCAGUGUAAACCUGCGGAUGAAGAUUUCUCGGAGAAGAUGUUGGAUGCGGUCACGGACGGCACACCCUGCUUCAUGAACAACAGCAGCAGGAAUAUCUGUAUCAAUGGUGUGUGCAAGGAGGUGGGAUGUGAUUUUGGCAUCAAUUCGAAUGCUAAAGAGGACAGCUGUGGUGUAUGUCUUGGCGAUGGAUCCGCCUGUGAAACCGUGAAGCAGACCUUUGUGGGACAAGAUGGAUUUGGUUACAAGAACCUGGUCUUCAUACCAGAGGGAGCUCGGGACAUCUUCAUACGGGAGGUGGAAGAGGCUGGGAAUUUUCUGGCGAUCCGAGACGCUGAUUCGGAUGAGUAUUACCUCAACGGGAAUUACAUCAUUCAGUGGAAUGGAGAGUAUGAGGCAGGUGGUACAAAGUUUCAAUACGACCGCAGCGGCAACAUGGAGAAUCUGACCUCGGAAGGACCGACGACCAGACCCGUCAUGAUUCAGCUGUUGUUUCAAGAGCUCAACCCCGGUGUGAGGUACGAGUACACCAUCAAGAGAAGUCACCCGCUUGGAAAUGAAAUUCUUGAACCUGAAUACACCUGGAAGCGCGGAGCCUGGUCCGACUGCAGCGCCACCUGUGGGUUUGGUGUGCAGCAUCAACCCGUGCGCUGUUUCGAGGCAGAGGUGGGCGUGGUCGAGGAAACCCUCUGUGACCCCGGUACGCGUCCUGACGACAGACAUCGCAAAUGUAAAAACAUGGAUUGUCGUGCCAGGUGGUGGGUCGGCGGAUGGCAGGCGUGUUCGGCUACAUGCGGCCCGGGUGGAGUGAGAAAGCGCACAGUUCUGUGUGUGCGUCCGGUUGCUGGAGAGGAGCGCGUUCUGCACCCCGGAGACUGCAAACAGAUGCUCAAACCCAAACCCGUGCUACCUUGUAGCCGAGACGUGCCGUGCGGGUCAGAAUGGGUUGUGGGGAACUGGACAGAGUGCUCUCUGUCCUGCGAAGGAGGCGUCAAAACCAGAGCGGUCAAGUGUGUGGCCAAACGGCCGGGUCAGUGCGACCCCGCCAAUCGACCGCGCUCCACGAUCCUGUGUAACCUCCAGAGCUGCUCGUCCGAUAACAAAUGGACCGGCUCCCCCUUUCGACCUCGAUUCCGUCCAAGAGUCCCUCCCAAAAUCUCAACCACUCCACCAAACCCCCCCACCGUCACCGACUAUACAACACAAGCCAGCACUCCGCUAACAGCCACAACCCCGUCUGACUUUAUCCAUGAGGAGGAUCAAGGCUUUAUUUUGGUUAAGGAUGUUGAGGAAGACAUGGGUGGUCGUGAGAAAGGUCCGGCGGAAGAAGAGGAAGGUAGCACAGACCUGACUCCUGACAAAACAUACACGCCCGGUUAUGAUUACAUAGUGGGAGAGGAGGAACGAAAGGAUGAUUUCAUCCCUACAAGAACGGCAUCAUAUGUCCAAACAACCGCUGGAACGUCUCUCCACGCGAGUCACCCGACGACUGUUACAUCACCUAACGUCCACACAACAAAACAAGUGACCAGCACAUGUCAAACCACUGUACCCCCAGUGUUAAGUUCUUCCACUUUUAAGUGGGUAUCAAGCUCAAAACUACCCUCGACGGCGCCACACGUCACAGGUGAGAGACAACGAGAGCCCGUCCAUACAGUGACGAUACCGAGAGUAACCACGAACAACACGAGACAUGUCAACAGAGACCUCAAAGUGCCAAAAGCGGUCAAGCAGAGGCCAGAAACGGUCGGCAGCACCGGGGAUUAUGGGAACCUGAAUACACCAAAUCCCAUCAGGAGAAAUGCAUUCUGGGAAGUGGGCAACUGGAGUGAUUGCUCUGCUACGUGUGGUGUGGGUGCGAUGUGGCGGUCUGUAUUCUGCGGUUCAGAGCGAGAUGAAGAUUGUGCCAGCGUGAAGAAACCAGAACCAGCUCAACGUUGCAGCCUGCGGCCGUGUGCCAUCUGGAGGACUGGAAACUGGAGCAAGUGUCCUGAAGGAUGCGUCAGUGAUGUGAAGCAUCGUGACGUGCAGUGCAUGGAUACACAGAGCGGACGUCCUCUGAGGCCGUUUCAUUGUCAGGCGCUGUCGUAUAAACCGUCCACCAGCGCCCCCUGUAACACUCAGGCCUGUCUACAGUGGAAGACGUCAUCCUGGGGCGAGUGUUCUGAAAGCUGUGGUCAGGGAUGGAGGAAGAGGCUUGUGUAUUGUCCCGAGGAUCAUCGCUGUAACGUCACGAUCAAACCUGACAGCACAGAACCGUGUCAUCUGAAGCCCUGUACCCGCUGGCUGUCUGACACCUGGAGCACGAUGGUUCGUACUGGGGACGUUCAGCAUAAAAAAAAACUUCUGCCCGAUAUUCUUCUCGUGUCAUUGGUUGACAGUGUUCCAGAAGCUGUGGUGGAGGACUUCAGAAGCGUGUUGUGAAGUGUGUAAACAAGGAGACCAGAGAAGAAGAGAAAACAUCACUGUGUGCACAGAAUACACAACCAGACAGCGUUCAGACCUGCAAUACAGACCGCUGCAAAACUGAGCGUGAAGGGCCGGUUUGUAAGAAGAACAGCAUGUCAGCACGUUUCUGUGAGAAACUCAAGUUGCUGGGUCGAUGUUCCCUGCGUUCUAUCCUCAAGCAGUGUUGCGUCACGUGUAUGAUGUAAUGCGGAGGUCAUGGCAGGGUCGCGCUCGGCACGUCUACCCAAAGCUGAAACUACUGGACACGCAGCCACAGGGGUUCACAGUAUCCCACAAACACAGACCUUCCACUCCAAUAUAUAUCAUUUUUAUACUUGAACGUGAGAAUCCUGCGCCAGUGAAUAAAUACAUGAAAUCUGUCACAGGUCUAUUUUGAUUUCAGCUCAGAUGAACACAAAAUAACACGGAUUUCCCCUCAAAAUCAGCACAGAAAAUGACAAAUUAAAAGUCCUACUGUAUGUCCGCCAAUGUGUUCUCCUCUGCACUUUUUUGUAUGCAUUACACUUUAACCACUCCUCAAGACCCAGGUGGCUUGCUAUGGCCAGGGGCGGACUGACCGGUAGGACAUUCUGUCAAAGUUUAGAACAGGCGACCUGCCUACAGCCAUGACCAGGGGUAGACUGGCCAUCUGGAGUAUCAGAACUUUUCCUGUGGGACGCUUACAUAUGGGGCCGUAAUCGACGCUUUGGCCAGACAGAUGGACGUAUUAAUGCGAAUGCAUGCAACUCGAAGGACCCCCCCAUCUACAGAAAUGGUGGAGGGUUGAUGUGGGCCGAAUAAUCCAGGGCCGUUUUUGCUUCCAAGACCCCCCCUGGCUGUAGCCCAACGUUGCUUCGGACCAAAAAUAUGCCCCGGUGUCAUGACAAAUUCAGUCCACUUGGUAAUUGUGUUCCAUCUUAGGACCCAAUUUAGUGGGUAGUUGUAAUUCCUGAUCACAAAGUUAUUAUCUCAAUAUGUUGUUGUAUGGCUAACCAAAGCUGUGUUAGCUUCUAGCGAGUUUAAUACGCUGGGUAGAAUAAAAGCAUUAAAAUGACAUGUUAAAUGUAAGUUUAAAAAAACAUUUGAGCAUAUAAGCUUGAUGUAACAUACACGUCAGAAUUUCUGCGUCAACAUUUGCUUAACAAACAAAAACAUAACUUUUGAUAUUUGAAAACUACCAUAAUUAAAACAGUAAGAACGAGAUUUGUUUGUUUCACAUCCCAUAGCCUCAAUUAUGUACAAUUAUAUGAAGCAUUUAGUGAAAAAGACAACAAUGGUAAUUUUUGCAAAGUACGAGCGACAAAAAUCGUAAUGUAAUUUCAUAACAAUUACAAUUGGGCGCUAAAAAGCGUACCCAAUAGAAGUUAUUUUAGGCAACCGAAUCACGUGGGGUCCUAGAGGGGACUUGAUUUGUCAUGACACCCGCGAGGAAGGCUUAGACCCCGGAAGUGACUAAGAAAACACGAAUGGCCCUAGCAUGCACUAGCACGCCCGCUUCUGGUUGGAUAGUGGAACUGCGCCUGCGGCUUAAAUGCAGUUUUCACGUUCUGCGCCAUGUUGUUUAAAUAGCAAAUGCCUUCGCGCCCACGGCGUGCUGGUCUGAAAACGAGGUGUGUUCAGGCGGCUUGUUGGCGCGUUGCUAUUUUGUUGCAACUGAAAGGGACCGACUGAAACCCCAUUCAACUUCAACAACCCAAUAUUAUAUUUUUGUUAGUAAUACAGGCCAGUGGACAGUGAACGUACAUUCUGCUUAUAAGACACAUAGGGACGCGCAGCAGCACUCAAACAUGCCAAAUAUUAAAAUAAAAGGAUACCAAUGUAAAAGAUUAUUAUCGUACACAUAAAGAUGAAAAGGUGUAUUGCCUUUUUGGAGAAGCGUCCAGUCUUUGCUCUUGCAAAUUCCACCGUGAGAAUAGGGACAACCAAUUAAGAACAUUUAACAUCCUUAAACUAGCAAAGGUGGAUUCGGACACACUUUGUGCACUUGCGCCCUCCGCUUUAGACAAUGCGUUAAGAACGUUAAAAUUGGGUCCUAUGAGUAAAUCUACCUAAAUUUUGAUUUCAUUGAAGUUUGCUUGUAAGACCUUAAAAGAUUUGGAACAACUAACAUUUCAUUUUCAAACACAUAGUCUUAGAUUUUUGAGAAGUUUACUUCUUCCAUUUUUAAUUUGGAUAAAUCUUGGAUAAAUAAUUUUUUUACUGAUUUCAAACUGUUUUAAAAUGUAUAUUUCUGUAUCAUCACGUUCCUUCUGGGAAUACUAUCAAACAGGACUGCGUCAUUUUCUUUUCAUAGACAUCUGUCAGUUUGGUGUUUGCGUUUUUAAUCUUUAUUCAUUGAAGCACAUAAAAGAAAAGUUAAAGACUGUGAAGUGUUAUGCAUUAUUACAAUAACGGUGACUUUUUUCUCUUACUCUAGUAUUGCAUGUUUAUCGAUUCACUUUUACCAAUACCAUGAACGUUAUGUGUUAACGGUGCUCCAAAGAGUUUUACUCAACUCUUCUAGUAUAUUAUUAAUGCAAAACACAUGUUUUAUUUACUACUCAACCGAACACAAACACUUACUGUAUGAAAUCCUUUCUCAGGAUAUGUGUAUUAACGGAUGUCUGCACUGCAUUGGUGGUGUCUUGUUGUGUUUAUUGUAUUCGUAUGCUUUGUGUUUCAUCAUCUGGUGCUAACAAGAUCACUGUGGACGGAGGAGUUGCAGGUUCACUCCUCUUCAGCUUUUAUAAGAAUAGCUCUGAAUGUUUUAUACUGAACAUGCUUCAUGUCUAAUAAACACAGUCAUGAUGUAAGCCA